rnacentral:rRNA from 1 species
GACGAACGCUGGCGGCGUGCCUAACACAUGCAAGUUGAGCGACGAACCAGGGCUUGCCCUGGGGCAAAGCAGCGAACGGGUGAGUAACACGUGGGUAACCUACCCCGACAACCGGGACAACCCGAGGAAACUCGGGCUAAUACCGGAUGUGCUCACUGGACUUCGGUUCAGUGCGUAAAGGAAGCUUCGGCCUCCGUAUCGGGAGGGGCCCGCGGCCCAUUAGUUUGUUGGUGAGGUAACGGCUCACCAAGACCGCGAUGGGUAGCUGGUCUGAGAGGACGAUCAGCCACACUGGGACUGAGACACGGCCCAGACUCCUACGGGAGGCAGCAGUGGGGAAUCUUGCGCAAAGCGCGAAAGCGUGACGCAGCAACGCCGCGUGGGGGAAGAAGGCCUUCGGGUUGUAAACCCCUUUCAGGAGGGACGAAGGUUCGGCGGUGAAUAGCCGUCCGGACUGACGGUACCUCCACAAGAAGCCCCGGCUAACUACGUG